CAAAAAUUUUUCUGUUUACUUAUUUUAUUUAAACUUCAGAAGAACAACACUAUUUAUGUACAUUUUGUAUAUUUAAAUCACUAAAGUAUCGAAAAUAUCUGACAUGUAAAUUAAUAAGCUACUACCACAUAUGAACGACUUGAUGUCGCUUUUGCGACUAACCUUGCAAGUAGCGUCAGAACUCUAAAACCAUUGAAUCAACUCAUGUACAAUGUACAAAUCUGCACCAACCGUCAGGCGCCUGUCAUACAAACAAUUUUUGUUUAAGAUAUAAUACAUGUUUAUGUUCUAAAGGAUUUACACAAAACCCAAGGGUUUUGCAGCCUUCUGCGACAAAUUUUAGAAUAACAGUACGCAUGUGUCAGAAUUUGAACAGAGCUAACUAAAACAAAAUAAGCCUUACGUCCUAUAUAUAAUAUGUAAAUAUAUUGUACAUACAAGCACAUACUUAUGCGUAUUGCAGAGUUGUAUACAGCACCAAGGCUA